CUGGGCCAUUGUCUCCAGUAUCCAUUUGUGCUCCAUCCAUUGUCUAUGGGCAUGCUGAAGAUAGUCGAGUACAGUGCCUGGCCAUCUUUGGCAGGGCUGCCAUCAGAGGGAGAAUAUUGUCUAUGCCAGAAAGGAGAAGGCUUAACAAGGACCUCUCUUCAAUACACUAAUCUCAUGUUGGCCUAUGGUCGGAGUUAGUGCUGCUGUCUACUGUCAGCUGCAAGUUUAUUUUUGACUGUGUUUAGGCCUCAAGCAAAUGGAGAAAUCUGAGAUAAUGAUAGAACCGGCUGCGUACCGGAGUUAUGGUGUCUGGAAUUAUCAGGGACUGAGUUCCGUAUAUCCAUUGGAAUGUGUUCUUUAUAGGAUUUUUAUAUAAUCAUCAUAAGGUUACAUUCACACCUACUGCAUAUGCUGUGGAUUUGAUGUUACUUCAAUAUCAUUUAAACAGUUAAAAGGUACUCCGUUGCUAGACAUUCAGAAUCCUGGGUUGGGACGGCCGUGGUUGUGACGUCAAGCCAUGCCCCCUCCAUUCAUGUCUAUGGGAGGGGACAUAGACAUGAA